rnacentral:lncRNA from 1 species
AAACUGCCCCCACCCCCACACCCCCCUACACCACCAGCCUGCAGCAGGCAACCCACUUGGGUCUCCUUCCAUGCUGUGGAAGCUUUGUUCUUUUGCUCUUUAGGUUCGUGCCAACUUUAAGCUGUAACACUCAGGGCGAAGGUCCGCAGCUUCAUUCUUGAAGUCAGCGUAGACCACGAACCCACCGGAAGGAACCAUAUUCCGGACACACCAGGACCCUGGGUGUGUUGGGGCCCACAAUACCAUACUCCAAGAUGAAAGUCUCAGAAGCAGCUCCAGAAAUAAGUUUUUCUAUGACCUUCUGCCCUUUUGUCUCUGGCCCCUUGUUCCCCCACAGGCUAGCCAUAGAAACUAGAACCUUUCCCCAAGGCGAGCCAUAGGAAUCAGAGCCCCUUUUCCCCACAGCCAGCCAUAAAACCCCAAAAUAUUGCUCUAAUCCCACCCCCUUUCUGUGUAAAAACUGGUCAUAAAGAAAUUAACCUACCUUGUUUGACUGUGGGUCAUAAGAUCCCCAUUCCGGAGAGAGUCCUGCCCCACACCCAGAAAAAAAGGGACUGCUGCAGAGACAGGCCAAGAAGAAUCUACACAAACAGGCCUUGCUGGGUUCCCCCACUCGGGCUGUUAGCACUACAUCACACCCUUUUUGUCCAAUCAUAUUUCUAUACAGCUGUCCAUACUUUGUUGAACCUAAGCAAAGAAAGGGACAAUCUCCUGUGAAAGGAAGAUAAAUCUUCCCCAAAUCACUAAGCCAAAGGGAAAAGUCAAGUUUGGAACAGCGUUGGGCAAACCUGCCUCUCAUUCUAUUCCUAAAUAAGAUAGCUACAAAGAUAAAAAAAAUAAAAAUUAAAAAAAAAAGGCUACAUACCUCCUUCACAAUUUGCCCACAAGGAAAUUCCUUGUGGACAAAGGACAGAACUCAAAGUCAUCCCUCUGCUCACAUGGGACAAAUGCAUAUGUGAUGACUUCCUUUGCCCUGUUGUUUCACACUAAUCCAGACUAAGGCAUAUUCCUGUAAAUUGUGCAUUCAGUGAAAGGCUAAUCAGAUACUCAAAAGAAUGCACCCGUUUAUGUCUUUUCUACCUAUGAUCUGGAAGCACCCCCCACACACAAAACUCUGAGUUGUUCCGCCUUUCCAGACUGAACCAAUGUAUUAAAUACAUCUUACAUAUAUUGAUUGACGUCUCAAGUCUCCCUAAAAUGCUUAGAACCAAGCUGUGCCCAACCACCUUGGGCACAUGUCAUCAGGACCUCCUGAAGCUAUGUUACGAGUGCUUCCCUAACCUUGGCAAAAUAAACGUUCUAAAUUGACUGAGACCUCAGGAGUUCGAGACCAGUCUGACCAACAUGGUGAAACCCCAUCUCUACUAAAAAUUCAAAAAUUAUUCGGGCAUCGUGGCAGGCGCCUGUAAUUCUAGCUACUCUGGAGGCUGAGGCAGGAGAAUCUCUUGAACUCAGGAGAUGGAGGCUGCAGUGAGCCGAGAUCAUGCCAUUGCACUCCAGCCUGGGCGACAGAGUGAGAAUGUCUCAAUAAAUAAAUAAAUCGACUGAGAUCUGCCUCAGAUAUUUGGGGUUCCAUACUCUGCUGUAUCUUGGGUCUUCAUUUUGCAGUUUCCUGUGUCACAUAAAACUAUGACCAAAUAAAUUUGUGUGACUUUUCUCCUAUUUGCCUUUUGUCAGCUGUUUUUUCAGCAAACCUUGGUUUCCAGAGUCUCUUUCAAAUCUUGCCUUUUGUGAUUAUGUCAUGAGUGGUGUAAGGUUAGCGAUAACCAGGUCCACGCAUGUUUGUGUCUUUCCACUGUAAACCAAAAAGUAUCCAAGACAGGUCUUCAACUUAGAAGUGUAUUUUGCCAAGGUUAAGGACAUACCUGGGAGACAGGUCUGUGUGUAACUGCCCGAGGGGUUCCUCCUGCCUGCUGCAUAAAGACCACAGCAUUGUAGUAGAGAAAGAGUUUAAUAGACAUGAGGCCAGCCUCACCACAUGGGAGAGGGAGUUCAUAUGCAAAUCAUCUUGUCCUAAGCUCACAGGUUAGG